AUGAGCAACGCCACGGCGAUCAACGAGAAGGUGCUCGGGGAGUGCCUCAACGAGAUCUCCGGCGCGCUCUUGCAGUCCGACGUCCAGAAGAUCGUCAACCUCGAGACCCUCGUCGCCGGCACCAACAAGCGGCGCAUCAUACAGCAGGCCGCCUUCAGGGAGCUCUGCAACAUGCUGGAUCCAGGGAAGCCGGUCUUCAACCCCAAGAAGGGAAAGCCCAGCGUCGUCAUGUUCGUUGGAUUGCAGGGCUAG
rnacentral:rRNA from 1 species